CCUACGGGUGGCUGUAGUGAGGAAUAUUGGUCACUGGACGCAAGUCUGAACCCGCCAUGCCGCGUGCAGGAUGACGGCUCUAUGAGUUGUACACUGCUUUUGUACGAGGGUAAACCCCGAUACGUGUAUCGGGUUGAAAGUAUCGUACGAAUAAGGAUCGGCUAACUCCGUGCCAGCAGCCGCGGUAAUACGGAGGAUCCGAGCGUUAUCCGGAUUUAUUGGGAUUAAAGGGUGCGUAGGCGGUUUGAUAAGUUAGAGGUGAAAGGUCGGGGCUCAACCCCGAAACUGCCUCUAAUACUGUUGGACUAGAGCAUAGUUGCGGUAGGAGGAAUGUAUGGGGUAGCGGUGAAAUGCUUAGAGAUAAUACAGAAAACCGAUUGCGAAGGCAGCUUACCAAACUAUAUCUGACGUUGAGGCACGAAAGCGUGGGUAGCAAACAGGAUUAGAUACCCGAGUAGUC
rnacentral:rRNA from 1 species